UACGAAGGGUGCAAGCGUUAAUCGGAAUUACUGGGCGUAAAGGGUGCGUAGGCGGUUGUUUAAGUCUGUCGUGAAAUCCCCGGGCUCAACCUGGGAAUUGCGUUGGAGACUGCAAGGCUGGAGUCUGGCAGAGGGGGGUAGAAUUCCACGUGUAGCAGUGAAAUGCGUAGGGAUGUGGAGGAACACCGAUGGCGAAGGCAGCCCCCUGGGUCAAGACUGACGCUCAUGCACGAAAGCGUGGGGAGCAAACAGG
rnacentral:rRNA from 1 species